UACGUAGGGUGCGAGCGUUAUUCGGAAUUACUGGGCGUAAAGCGUGCGCAGGCGGUUUUUUAAGACAGAUGUGAAAUCCCCGGGCUCAACCUGGGACCUGCAUUUGUGACUGCAUCGCUAGAGUACGGCAGAGGGGGAUGGAAUUCCGCGUGUAGCAGUGAAAUGCGUAGAUAUGCGGAGGAACACCGAUGGCGAAGGCAAUCCCCUGGGCCUGUACUGACGCUCAUGCACGAAAGCGUGGGGAGCAAACAGG
rnacentral:rRNA from 1 species